GUCCAGCUGACGAGUCCCAAAUAGGAUGAAACGCGCAUCCUGGCC
rnacentral:hammerhead_ribozyme from 1 species